rnacentral:rRNA from 1 species
AGCGAACGCUGGCGGCAGGCCUAACACAUGCAAGUCGAACGAACUCUUCGGAGUUAGUGGCGGACGGGUGAGUAACACGUGGGAACGUGCCUUUUUGUUCGGAAUAACUCAGGGAAACUUGUGCUAAUACCGAAUGUGCCCUUCGGGGGAAAGAUUUAUCGCCAUUUGAGCGGCCCGCGUCUGAUUAGCUAGUUGGUGAGGUAACGGCUCACCAAGGCGACGAUCAGUAGCUGGUCUGAGAGGAUGACCAGCCACACUGGGACUGAGACACGGCCCAGACUCCUACGGGAGGCAGCAGUGGGGAAUCUUGCGCAAUGGGCGAAAGCCUGACGCAGCCAUGCCGCGUGAAUGAUGAAGGUCUUAGGAUUGUAAAAUUCUUUCACCGGGGACGAUAAUGACGGUACCCGGAGAAGAAGCCCCGGCUAACUUCGUG